UACAGAGGGUGCAAGCGUUAAUCGGAAUUACUGGGCGUAAAGCGAGCGUAGUCGGUUAUUUAAGUCGGGUGUGAAAGCCCCGGGCUCAACCUGGGAAUUGCAUUCGAUACUGGAUAGCUAGAGUUCGGCAGAGGGAAGCGGAAUUUCCGGUGUAGCGGUGAAAUGCGUAGAUAUCGGAAGGAACAUCAGUGGCGAAAGCGGGUCUCUGGACAGUUCCUGACACUGAGGCACGAAGGCCAGGGGAGCAAACGGG
rnacentral:rRNA from 1 species